GAGGAUAGAGGACAGAGAGAGGAGAUGAUAGUGACAUCAUCAAUGUGUGCAAAAAUGUAAAAUAUCACAGAAUGAUGCGUGUUUUUGGGAUACAGUGUUAAUAUAGUACACACAGCAUUUUUAACUUUAUAACAUGUUUAACUAUGUUGUAUGUAUGGAGCUGUAAUGUAUGCAAAAACAUACAGACAACAUACAGAUUUACAGUAUGUAUUCAUUAACAUGAACCUUUUUUCCUCUGUCUAUCUACAGUAUUCAUUUAUCAUAUAUUAGACUACAUUGUGUUAUCUAAUAUGAUAAUAUAGGCAACAUUUACAAA